UCACCUCCUCAUAACAUAUUGGUAACUUGUAUUAGCUGUCAGCAUGUGGUAUUCUAGUGCAACCUAACAGGAAAUUGUGGCAGGCAGGAAGCCAGGAAAAUGCCAACAUUCUUUUGGUUUAUGUUCAGCCAACUUCAUCUAGGCCGGAACAUGACAUCUAGCAUUACCAGAAGGGAUCACUGAUAGCAUAGGA